UACGUAGGCAGCGAGCGUUGUUCGGAGUUACUGGGCGUAAAGCGUGCGCAGGCGGUUAUAUAAGACAGUUGUGAAAUCCCCGGGCUCAACCUGGGAACUGCAUCUGUGACUGUAUAGCUAGAGUACGGUAGAGGGGGAUGGAAUUCCGCGUGUAGCAGUGAAAUGCGUAGAUAUGCGGAGGAACACCGAUGGCGAAGGCAAUCCCCUGGACCUGUACUGACGCUCAUGCACGAAAGCGUGGGGAGCAAACGAGGAUUAC
rnacentral:rRNA from 1 species